rnacentral:rRNA from 1 species
CCCUUAGAUGUUCUGGGCCGCACGCGCGCUACACUGAUGCAUUCAACGAGCCUAUCCUUGACCGACAGGUCCGGGUAAUCUUUGAAUCUGCAUCGUGACGGGGAUAGAUUAUUGCAAUUAUUAAUCUUCAACGAGGAAUGCCUAGUAGGCGCAAGUCAUCAGCUUGCAUUGAUUACGUCCCUGCCCUUUGUACACACCGCCCGUCGCACCUACCGAUUGAAUGGUCCGGUGAAAUCUUGGGAUUUUGUUUUGUUUGCAUUUAUUUGUAUCGAGACGAGAGAACUUGAGUAAACCUUACCAUUUAGAGGAAGGUGAAGUCGUAACA